rnacentral:rRNA from 1 species
GUCUACAGUCAUACCAUACUGAAUGCGCCCAAUCUUGUCUGAUCUCAGAAUCUGAGUAGUGUUGGGUCUGGUUUGAACUUGGAUGGGAGAUUCAUAUUUAGUUUAUUAGAAAUUUAAACC